UCCCUGCUGGCUCAGAGGGUAAAGCGUCUGCCUGCGAUACAGGAGACCCGGGUUUGAUCCCUGGGUCAGGAA
rnacentral:tRNA from 1 species